AAUGCCAGUGAAGAUAAUAGAAGCAUGGUAAAAGCAGAUCAAGAUUGAAUUCCUAGUUCUACUACUUUCCCUCAUUUCACUACUGCAUUU
rnacentral:sRNA from 1 species